UACGGGGGGAGCAAGCGUUGUUCGGAUUUACUGGCGUAAAGGGCGCGUAGGCGGUCAGCACAAGUCAGUUGUGAAAUCUCCGGGCUUAACUCGGAAAGGUCAACUGAUACUGUGCGACUAGAGUGCAGAAGGGGCAACUGGAAUUCUCGGUGUAGCGGUGAAAUGCGUAGAUAUCGAGAGGAACACCUGCGGCGAAGGCGGGUUGCUGGGCUGACACUGACGCUGAUGCGCGAAAGCCAGGGAG
rnacentral:rRNA from 1 species